UACGUAGGGACCGAGCGUUGUCCGGAAUCAUUGGGCGUAAAGAGCGUGUAGGCGGCUAUUUAAGUCCUGCGUGAAAUCCUGCGGCUCAACCGCAGACGGUCGUGGGAAACUGGAUGGCUAGAGUGCGGGAGAGGAGAGUGGAAUUCCCGGUGUAGCGGUGGAAAUGCGCAGAUAUCGGGAAGAACACCCCGUGGCGAAGGCGGCUCACUGGCCCGAUACUGACGCUGAGGCACGAAAGCGUGGGGAGCAAACAGGG
rnacentral:rRNA from 1 species